rnacentral:rRNA from 1 species
UGGGGAAUAUUGCACAAUGGGCGCAAGCCUGAUGCAGCCAUGCCGCGUGUAUGAAGAAGGCCUUCGGGUUGUAAAGUACUUUCAGCGAGGAGGAAGGCGUUGUGGUUAAUAACCGCAACGAUUGACGUUACUCGCAGAAGAAGCACCGGCUAACUCCGUGCCAGCAGCCGCGGUAAUACGGAGGGUGCAAGCGUUAAUCGGAAUUACUGGGCGUAAAGCGCACGGAGGCGGUCUGUCAAGUCGGAUGUGAAAUCCCCGGGCUCAACCUGGGAACUGCAUCCGAAACUGGCAGGCUAGAGUCUUGUAGAGGGGGGUAGAAUUCCAGGUGUAGCGGUGAAAUGCGUAGAGAUCUGGAGGAAUACCGGUGGCGAAGGCGGCCCCCUGGACAAAGACUGACGCUCAGGUGCGAAAGCGUGGGGAGCAAACA